AACGAACGCUGGCGGCAUGCCUAACACAUGCAAGUCGAACGAGACCUUCGGGUCUAGUGGCGCACGGGUGCGUAACGCGUGGGAACCUGCCCUUAGGUUCGGAAUAACUCCCCGAAAGGGGUGCUAAUACCGGAUAAUGUCUUCGGACCAAAGAUUUAUCGCCUUUGGAUGGGCCCGCGUUGGAUUAGCUAGUUGGUAGGGUAAAAGCCUACCAAGGCGACGAUCCAGAGCUGGUCUGAGAGGAUGAUCAGCCACACUGGGACUGAGACACGGCCCAGACUCCUACGGGAGGCAGCAGUGGGGAAUAUUGGACAAGGGGCGAAAGCCUGAUCCAGCAAUGCCGCGAGAGUGAUGAAGGCCUUAGGGUUGUAAAGCUCUUUUACCCGGGAUGAUAAUGACAGUACCGGGAGAAUAAGCUCCGGCGAACUCCGU
rnacentral:rRNA from 1 species